rfam:Ceratocystis platani strain CFO contig_00080, whole genome shotgun sequence.
UCCUCUGUGGCGCAAUUGGCUAGCGCGUCUGACUGUUACGCACUCUUUCUCUUUCGACAGAUGCAGCAAUCAGGAGGUUGACAGUUCAAGCCUGUCCGGAGGAG